rnacentral:tRNA from 1 species
AGCCUCUUUAGUUUAACGGUAUAACAGUUGUUUUGUAAACAACUAAUUUUGGUUCAAGUCCGAAAAGAGGCUU